GUGCUUGCUUCGGCAGCACAUAUACUAAAAUUGGAACCAUAUAGAGAUUAGUAUGGCCCCUGUGCAAGGAUGACAUGCAAGUUCAUGAAGUGUUCCAUAUUUUU
ensembl:snRNA U6 U6 spliceosomal RNA